rnacentral:lncRNA from 1 species
CAAUAACAGGAAUAUAUCCUUUGCUCUCGAAAGAAUAGAUGAACAUCCAAAAAGGGUCAAAGAAUAUACUUUAUUAUAUUUCAUUUUAAUACCAACUGUUGGAGAACAUAAGCAAAAGUAGUAAUAUUCUUGGUAUAUAUCUUUUCCAAGAAAAACUACAAAUUAACAACUGUAAAACUGCAGCUAUAGCAAGGUUAUCAUUGUAAUCUUCAUCUCCAG